GCGUCGGUGUUAUAAUGGUCAGCAUAGCUACCUUCCAAGCAUUUGAUUCGGGUUCGAUUCCCGGCUGACACA
rnacentral:tRNA from 1 species